GACGAACGCUGGCGGCGUGCUUAACACAUGCAAGUCGAACGGAAAGGCCCUGCAUUUGUGGGGUGCUCGAGUGGCGAACGGGUGAGUAACACGUGAGUAACCUGCCCUUGACUUCGGGAGAACUUCAGGAAACUGGGGCUAAUACCGGAUAGGAGCUCCUGCUGCACGGGGGGGGUUGGAAAGUGUCGGCGGUUGGGGAUGGACUCGCGGCUUAUCAGCUUGUUGGUGAGGUAGUGGCUUACCAAGGCUUUGACGGGUAGCCGGCCUGGGAGGGUGACCGGCCACAUUGGGCCUGAGAUACGGCCCAGACUCCUACGGGGGGCAGCGGUGGAGAAUAUUGCACAAUGGGCGGAAGCCUGAUGCAGCGGCGCCGCGUGCGGGAUGACGGCCUUCGGGUUAUAAACCGCUUUCGCCUGUAACGAAGCGUGAGUGACGGUAAUGAGUAAAGAAGCACCGGCUAACUACGUG
rnacentral:rRNA from 1 species